rnacentral:rRNA from 1 species
AGAGUUUGAUCCUGGCUCAGGAUGAACGCUAGCGACAGGCUUAACACAUGCAAGUCGAGGGGCAGCGGGGACGAAGCUUGCUUCGUCUGCCGGCGACCGGCGCACGGGUGAGUAACACGUAUGCGACCUGCCCCCCGCAGGGGGAUAACCGGGAGAAAUCCCGACUAAUACCGCGUAACGCCGCGGGGCUGCAUGGCCCCGCGGCCAAAGGAAGCGAUUCCGGCGGGGGAUGGGCAUGCGGCGCAUUAGCUAGUCGGCGGGGUAACGGCCCACCGAGGCGACGAUGCGUAGGGGUUCUGAGAGGAAGGUCCCCCACACUGGUACUGAGACACGGACCAGACUCCUACGGGAGGCAGCAGUGAGGAAUAUUGGUCAAUGGGCGGGAGCCUGAACCAGCCAAGUCGCGUGAGGGAGACGGUCCUACGGAUUGUAAACCUCUUUUGCCGGGGAGCAACGGGGUCCUUGCGAGGGCCCGAUGAGAGUACCCGGAGAAAAAGCAUCGGCUAACUCCGUGCCAGCAGCCGCGGUAAUACGGAGGAUGCGAGCGUUAUCCGGAUUUAUUGGGUUUAAAGGGUGCGUAGGCGGGCUGUUAAGUCAGCGGUCAAAUGUCGGGGCUCAACCCCGGCCUGCCGUUGAAACUGGCGGCCUCGAGUGGGCGAGAAGUAUGCGGAAUGCGUGGUGUAGCGGUGAAAUGCAUAGAUAUCACGCAGAACUCCGAUUGCGAAGGCAGCAUACCGGCGCCCGACUGACGCUGAGGCACGAAAGCGUGGGUAUCGAACAGGAUUAGAUACCCUGGUAGUCCACGCAGUAAACGAUGAAUGCUAGCUGUCCGGUUCUACGGGACUGGGUGGCACAGCGAAAGCGUUAAGCAUUCCACCUGGGGAGUACGCCGGCAACGGUGAAACUCAAAGGAAUUGACGGGGGCCCGCACAAGCGGAGGAACAUGUGGUUUAAUUCGAUGAUACGCGAGGAACCUUACCCGGGCUCAAACGCCAAAGGACAGCCGUUGAAAGGCGGCCUCCCUCCGGGGUCUUUGGCGAGGUGCUGCAUGGUUGUCGUCAGCUCGUGCCGUGAGGUGUCGGCUUAAGUGCCAUAACGAGCGCAACCCCCAUCGACAGUUGCUAACGGGUAGAGCCGAGGACUCUGUCGAGACUGCCGGCGCAAGCUGCGAGGAAGGCGGGGAUGACGUCAAAUCAGCACGGCCCUUACGUCCGGGGCGACACACGUGUUACAAUGGCCGGUACAGCGGGAUGCCAGGGCGCGAGCCCGAGCGGAACCCGAAAACCGGUCUCAGUUCGGAUUGGAGUCUGCAACCCGACUCCAUGAAGCUGGAUUCGCUAGUAAUCGCGCAUCAGCCACGGCGCGGUGAAUACGUUCCCGGGCCUUGCACACACCGCCCGUCA